CUGUUGCGCGGAAGCGUGUGAAAGAGUAAAAUUAUUGUACUGAAAAAUCACACUAAGUUCAAUUCCCAGGAAAGAGAGGUGGAUCACGAGGAUCGCUUACAUACCAGAUCUUUCCUAGCCAGAAUAUCCCUCUAUCGUAAUUUAAUAGCACAAUAAAUCACUACAAUGACACUUGCAAAAUAUGCAGAACAAAAAAUAAAGAACACUAGAAUUUUAACGAGAUUCAGCAAAUUUUGCCUACGUCCUCGGGCACUACCAAAUAUAUUUCACUCCAAAAAUACAAGUGAAAGUUUACAAAUAGGGAGAGAGAACAAUUGCCUUAAGUAGAGAAUGGCAAGUGUGGGAUGAAGAAAGUAAGAAAUGGUUAGGCCUAUUUACAGUUGAGGUUUAAGGAUCAACUUGCAAUGUCCCUAUACAAUUAGGGACCAAAAUUGAAAUUAUCCCAUGCCAACUUUUAACCCAACUUGCCAACCAAUCUUACUUUCUACUUUCGGUGCCCACCCCUUUUUGACUUUUCAAACAAUGUGGGUGGGUUCCAAUAAUCUCCACCUUGAAGAUUUGAUUAGGAUAAUCUUAUCUUCACACAAUUCUUUCUGCCUUUGACAACAAUACUUGAUAGUGCCUUCUUCAACUGUUAAACUUGCAGGAUAUUAAUCAAGUUCAAACAAUGUUCGAACUUGGUUGCUGUUACCACCUUGGUCAUCAUAUCUGCGGGAUUAUCUGCAGUCUUGAUCUUCUGAAGACAAAUUUUCCUCUCUUCAAUAAUUUCCCGCACAAAAUGGAAUCGUACGUCAAUAUGUUUUGUACGUGCAUGAUAGACUUGAUUCUUUGCUAAAUGAAUAGCACUUUGACUAUCACAAUACACGUUAAUAUGCUCCUGAACCAACCCCAAGGUUUUAGCCAUACCUUGUAACCAAAUAGCCUCCUUUACAGCCUCUGUUACAGCCAUGUACUCGGCUUCUGUGGUUGACAAUGCAACUGUAGACUGUAGUGUAGACUUCCAACUUAUUGGUCCUCCAGCAAGUGUAAACACAUAACCGGUGGUUGAUCUUCGCUUGUCCAAAUCACCGGCAUAGUCAGAAUCAACGUACCCAAUAACACCUUUACCAAGUGUAUUAUCCUGCUUGAACAGUAAUCCAACAUCCACGAUCUUCUGAAUAUACCGUAGAAUCCAUUUCACAGCUUGCCAAUGUCCUUUUCCAGGAUUAUGCAUAUACCUGCUCACUAUACUAACUGCCUGUGAAAUGUCGG
rnacentral:lncRNA from 1 species